AAAAUGCGAUACGUGGUGUGAAUUGCAGGAUCCCGUGAAACCAUCGAGUUUUUUAACGCAAGUUGCGCCCGAAGCCUUUAGGCCGAGGGCACGUCUGCCUGGGCGUCACGCACCGUUGCCCUCCAAACCUCCGCAGUCCUUUAGUGGGAUUGUUGAGAUGUGCGGGGGUCGUAAAGUGGCUUCCCGUCGGCUUUGUCCUGCGGUUGGCCUAAAAAUGUAUCCCUAGUCGCGGUGCGCGCGGCAUUCGGUGGUCAUCGAUAGAUUUCGUUACCCCGCCGUGCGCUCCCGUGUUGCGAAGGAUGUCACCAGCAAACCCGAUGUCUCGCUCCCGUGUUGCGAAGGAUGUCACCAGCAAACCCCAGGUCAGGCGGGGCUACCCGCUGAAUUUAA
rnacentral:misc_RNA from 1 species